AAAAGAUAUAAUCCUUCCGUAAUUUUCACUUCGGGGUAGAAGUUCCAACUUCUCUUUGCUUAUAUUGUCAGAUGAGAAAGACUCGUUCCUUUGUUUUUUCGGAAUACAGUCGUAACCUUCUUCUGGUGACCAGUCUAGACCACCCCAAAUAGUAUCACCGCCUUUGGGAAUCAUUGACAUGGUUGAAUCCCAGGUACGAGUCAUGCGCAUAAAAUGCCGCAAGGUAUGCAGACCAAGAAAAUCAGAAUCUAACAUGCCAG
rnacentral:misc_RNA from 1 species